AAAACAAAAAACAAAAAACAAAAAAACAAAAACAAGAUAGACUUAAAAUAAACAAACAGACAAACGCACCAGGGCUGACCCCUGGGAGCUGACAAGCUAAUCCGGUCCAUGAGCCUCUCAUGAACUCACAGGGACUGGCGGCAGCGUGGAAGGCCUCCGUAUACUGACCUGCCCGUGGAUGCCGCUGCUCACCGCCAUCUCUGGGAGGCGGCAGGUCCCUCGCAGAAGCGGGCCUGUGGAGGCAUUUCUGUAUCUAUUUUUUUUUUCCAGGGAAUUGUGUGUUCAGGCUGACAUUAGCAGGCUGUGGUGUAUGCACUGAUUCCAUUGGUGGCAGAGCUGAGUGACUGGCGGGCUCCGCUCCCUUCCAGAAAUGCACGCCCAUGGCAGAGCUGCUGGCCUCCCUUAGUCCCUAGGAAGUGCUGGCUGUGAAACCUGAGCCUCCAGGCUGUCCAGUACUGGGCUGAGCAGCUGUCCCCACGAGACAGGUUGACGAGUCUGGAUUUUGUGCCCAGAGCAACAGUGCAAUGAGUAACCCUCCAAGCUUCCCAAGAUAGCACCGCCGGGAAUCCCCAGCUGCAGACAGAGGGCUGGCAGCUCCCUGGGCUCAGGAGAUCUUCGCACAUCCCUUCUCUCCCAGGGUUCCCACCUUGCAGACAGGAGGAGGUGGCUGAGGCCCAGCCAGCGCCCCCCACAGCCUCGCAGCAGAUGGCUAAAGAGGAAGCCUGGCUCAGCUACACCUUGGGCCCACCAAGAAGGGACCACGCUCAAUGGUAGAAUGACACAUGGGUGCUCUAACGGAUUCUAGUUUUGUGAAGAUGAACAAGCUCUAAGCAGGAGGACUUACGGGAGGUCAGCGGCUGGUGGCCCCGGCAGAGCUAUCAUGGACCUGUUCCAUGAAGAAAGAGACACAGAUCUCUCUGUGGAAAGGUGCAGGCUCUGCUGCAGGAGGAAAAUGGCAACAAGAAGCCCAGCAGGUGAGUUGAUGGGACUCUGUGCAGCCAUCUCGCGUGGCCACCAUGAAGUAUGGACCAGCCCAGGGGAGGGUUUAGUUGAUGGGACUCUGUGUAGCCCUCAUGUGUGGCCACCGUGAAGUAUGGACCAGCCUAGGGGAGGGUUUCAGGUCCGGAGAUCUUAGUUGAGAGCAUCACUGCUCCAGAAAUGACCACAGACAGUGUCAUUCUGAACUCACCGAGGUAUCUGUGGACCCCCGGCGCCAUAGACGUGCUGGAAAAUGGGUUCUGGAGCCCAGGUGGACACCGUUUUCAUCUCAGAUCUUUGGUCCUCAGCACCUGUCCACUCCGACGUAGACGUAUCAGCUCCCUGCAUCUUACUGAGACACAGGAGCCAGAAGGGCCCUGAGGUUUUCAUCACAGUGCUCGCCCCAAGUGCCUCCCAGCUUUGUGUGAGAUGUGGAGGCAUGUGGCUUCAGGAGGUGGGAAAUGGAACAGACAUGCUGCAGAGUCUGACGGGGCGCUGAGCUCCUUCACUGCUCUGCGGAGACAGGCUCGGGCCUCAUCUGUUAUUGGCCAAGGGAAGCAAGGAACCAGGGGAGGUGUGAGGCGUGCACCAGAGGCACCCCUUGAGUUAGGGACGAAAGCCUGGCAGAGCCUGGAGCUAUGGCAUGUUUAAUCUUGGUGCAUGGGUGUCCGCAGGAGCAGAGGGCCCCUCCCAGAGUCAGAUCUGUGGUCUGUCCCGGGCGUCCUCCUGGGCAUCCUGGAGACUCACAACUCCCGGCCAUGGCUGUGGUCUUCUCCCUCUGUCCUUGGGUCCCCCUGCAGUUGCAGACUGGAUUAACCUUGAGGAUGGACAGUGGUGGCCUGGCUGCUGAUUGACAGCCAGGACAGAGCAAAUAUUGACUCCUCACCUCAGGAAAGGGGCCGACGUUCCUUCCGCAGGCACACGCUGACCUUGCUUCCGUGGGAAUCGAUAGAAACCUCUCGAGUCAAUAAAUCUUAAUGUUCCUUUCAACAGAAA